rnacentral:rRNA from 1 species
CAGCCGCCGCGGGAAUACGUAGGGUGCAAGCGUUAAUCGGAAUUACUGGGCGUAAAGCGUGCGCAGGCGGUUAUAUAAGACAGAUGUGAAAUCCCCGGGCUCAACCUGGGAACUGCAUUUGUGACUGUAUAGCUAGAGUACGGCAGAGGGGGAUGGAAUUCCGCGUGUAGAAGUGAAAUGCGUAGAUAUGCGGAGGAACACCGAUGGCGAAGGCAAUCCCCUGGGCCUGUACUGACGCUCAUGCACGAAAGCGUGGGGAGCAAACAGGAUUAGAUACCCCCGUAGUCCCUGUCUCUUAUAA